GAUCCGGAGCCGCGCACUCGGCCGCCAGCGCCAUCACGCGCUCCACGGCCGCGACCGCCGCGCUGGUCCUGCGCAUCCGGGUGUCCAUCGCCACCACCACGUCGCCAUCCCUGCACUUCCGCAGUGCCUGCAGCCACACGAGGUAUGCAUGUACAUGAUGGAUGAAUCAAGGAAGGUGAACUUACUGGAACUACUAGACACAUCACGAGCAUCGUUUGAGGGGGUUUCAUGGACCUCCCCGAUUCUGGAACGCCGAGGAGCGAAGCAGUUUGUGCACGCUUCUACAGUCGUAGCAGCUGCAUCCCAUAAUGAUCUAGUGCUCCUGGUCUUCUUGCCAGCCAUACUGGAACGAGCUUUAUUGGUGGAUAUCCUGGAGAAUCCAGGAUCUACCUGAAACUUGUGGUUGGAGCCAGAGAGGUCUCCUCCAUGGCCGGUGCUGAACGCCCGAUGGGUGCUGCCUCCAUAGCCGAUGGGGUUAGAAGAUGGCGUUGAAAACUGCUCUCACAUGUACCAUGUUCGUCUGGUUCUUUCCUUGGGCUUUAGUAGACGUGACACAUUAUAUGGACUGAUUCAGCUUGACCUGGUGCUCGCUUCUUAAUAAUUAUGAAAGGAAUGUUUAUUUUGGGCUUCAGGUCAAGCCAGUGGAGUCGGGAGUAUACGCGUGUAUGACAAUUGACAACUAACCGUCGACAGUAUUUAAUAGUAUGGGUGAAGGAUUCAGUGUCGGAGUGUUCAGAUUCUCGGCCGAAGAGGACUGGACCAGGUUACAUCAUAUU